AACGCGAAGAACCUUACCUGGGCUUGAACUGUGGUGGACCGUCCUGGAAACAGGGCCUCUCCUUCGGGAGCCGCCAUAGAGGUGCUGCAUGGCUGUCGUCAGCUCGUGCCGUGAGGUGUUUGGUUAAGUCCAGCAACGAGCGCAACCCUUAUCAUUAGUUGCCAACACGUAAAGGUGGGAACUCUAAUGAGACUGCCUGGGUUAACCAGGAGGAAGGUGAGGAUGACGUCAAGUCCGCAUGGCCCUUAUGCCUGGGGCUACACACGUGCUACAAUGGUCGGUACAGAAGGCAGCAGAACCGCAAGGCGAAGCAAAUCCCUAAAGCCGAUCUCAGUUCAGAUUGUAGUCUGCAACUCGACUACAUGAAGACGGAAUUGCUAGUAAUGGCAGGUCAGCAACACUGCCGUGAAUACGUUCCCGGGCCUUGUACACACCGAGACGAC
rnacentral:rRNA from 1 species